rnacentral:rRNA from 1 species
UGUAUCCUACGGGGGGCAGCAGUGGGGAAUAUUGGGCAAUGGGCGCAAGCCUGACCCAGCAAUGCCGCGUGAAGGAAGAAGGCCCUCGGGUUGUAAACUUCUUUUAUCAGGGACGAAGGAUGUGACGGUACCUGAUGAAUAAGCCACGGCUAACUACGUGCCAGCAGCCGCGGUAAUACGUAGGUGGCAAGCGUUGUCCGGAUUUACUGGGUGUAAAGGGCGUGCAGCCGGGAAGACAAGUCAGAUGUGAAAUCCCGCGGCUCAACCGCGGAACUGCAUUUGAAACUGUUUUUCUUGAGUACCGG